rnacentral:rRNA from 1 species
CGGCGGACGGGUGAGUAACACGUGGAUAACCUACCUAUAAGACUGGGAUAACUUCGGGAAACCGGAGCUAAUACCGGAUAAUAUAUUGAACCGCAUGGUUCAAUAGUGAAAGACGGUCUUGCUGUCACUUAUAGAUGGAUCCGCGCCGCAUUAGCUAGUUGGUAAGGUAACGGCUUACCAAGGCAACGAUGCGUAGCCGACCUGAGAGGGUGAUCGGCCACACUGGAACUGAGACACGGUCCAG